rnacentral:lncRNA from 10 species
AGGUGGAUGUUAGGGUCUUGACAGCAGGGGCACCAUCAUCUUGGACAAACACCACCUCUUUAAGUUCUAGCUCCCUUUCUAACCUCAUGCAUUUCAAGGAAAUCACUUCUCUUCUAACAACAAGCAGCAAGAAAGAGCAGACAGUAAAACACAGAUAAGACAGGUCAGACACAGAGGGAGGGGGAAAGUCUCUUGGGUAACCACCAAACUUCACACUCACACAAUGGGCCCCAGUAAAACAGUGGGCCCUGGUAAGCACAUUACUUUCCCUUUAGGUGCACUAAGAUAGGAAAGCUAAAAGAAGACUCAGGGGGUAUGCCUGCAGCUGCAGGAAGAUGUAUACAAAAACUCUCCCUCCCACAUAAGCAAGACAAAGAGACACAGAAACAUUCGAAGCCUGUGAUAAGGUCUCCUCCCAUCUCCUCACUUGAUGCCCUGCAAUUAUGAAGCUCUGUGCUGCAAACCCUCCUAUCUCUGUGUAUUGGUCUGUUACUGCACAAGAGACAUACAAACCUGUUGGUCUUCUAACAUUUUUAUUAUACUUAUUUAUAGGUGGCUUUCUAUGGCUAACUGCCCCUAAACCCUGAAAUGUUCCAACUAAUAAACAGGUAUUUCAAGAUUUCUGAUGUAAUAGAAGUGCAUUAAUUCCAGGAAUCAUUGUACUUGUGUAAAGUCUGUGCCUAUGGAGAAUGAGAGUGUUGUUGAUAGUAUUGAAUUAAGUAAAGUAGAAAUCAUUUUUAAUUAAAAAGUAUUAUUCUUAGCUAAUGU